rnacentral:rRNA from 1 species
UCGCCCAUUAAAGUGGUACGCGAGCUGGGUUCAGAACGUCGUGAGACAGUUCGGUCCCUAUCCGUCGCAGGCGUAGGAAAUUUGAGAAGACCUGUCCUUAGUACGAGAGGACCGGGAUGGACGUACCUCUGGUGUACCAGUUGUUCUGCCAAGGGCAUGGCUGGGUAGCUAUGUACGGAAUGGAUAAGCGCUGAAAGCAUCUAAGCGCGAAGCCAACUUCAAGAUAAGAUUUCCCACCGCAAGGGUAAGACCCCAGAAAGACUAUCUGGUUGAUAGGUCGAAGGUGUAAGUGCAGCAAUGUAUUUAGCUUAUCGAUACUAAUAGGUCGAGGACUUGACCAAAUU